rnacentral:tmRNA from 1 species
CCCUUUGCAUUGCGCGUUCGCGCGGCCUAUAUUUGCUGUGCCGGGCAACCGGCUAUGGCGAUAAACGUUAUAUGGAAUAAGCGUAUCGGACCCGGGGGCGGUACCCGGCGCCUCCACCAAAUCCCUUUCGGGAUGGCCAAGGGGGCGAAACAGGAUCGACGAGCGUGGUAAAGAUAUGAUUUUCGCCCGGCAUGGUACCACCGUUAUCGGGCUACUUUUACAAAUGCCAACGACAACGAGGCAUUUGCGGUUGCCGCCUAAGGGCGAUAACUAGCGGGGUUCGGUGGGCACCUUGCAACAGAAGCCCACCACU